rnacentral:lncRNA from 1 species
AUGUCUCGCAGAGCAUAGAUGCGUAUAAUCGGAUUAUUCAUCAGAAGUAUUCUGCUUGGCAUCCACACGCUUUGCUUCCUUCAACGAUUUCAAUUCGGACUCGGACUCGGCUGCCGAUAAAUCCAAGCGCGCCGCCCCUCGCCGUCUCCGCAUUCACCACAAUUCCUUCCACCCAUCCUCGCAGCAGAGCUCGUUCGUCCAUGGCGCUUCCCCGCCGCUCGAGUCCCCGCUCCUCGCGCCCGAUCAUCCACCGCGCCGUCGACGCCAAGGGGAAGAAGCCGUCAGGAGGAUCGCCGCCUGUCAACAAGAUGUCCUUCAAGAAGGGCGACGAGGUGCGCGUCCGCACGUCGUUGGGGAGGCUAGGGACCACGACGCUGCGCCUCGUCAUGUGGCUCGGCGCGGUCGUCGUCUCCGACGCCGACGACGACGGACACCUCGAGUUCAUCUACAAUGGCAACUUCCCGCGCGACGAUCCCUUCCGGACCGUGCGUGUCGCCGUCAAGGACGUCAAGCUUCCGGCGCCGCGCCCGGCCCCGACCCCGGCAAACAUGGCGGCCCAGCGGCCGACCACGGCCGGGAAGUCGCUGCCGCGGCUGAAGAUGCAGAUGCUGGAGAAGGAGCAGCUGCGGGCCAACUCCGAGGCGUUCUUGGCAUUCGCCGACUUCAAUUCGGACUCGGACCCGGCUGGUGAUAAAUCCUCGCAGCCCCGAUCGCCGCCUCCCUCCGCAUUCACCACGAUUCCCUCCACCCAUCCUCGUCGCAGCAGCGCUAGCUCGUCGUCCAUGGCGCUUCCCCGCCGCUCGAGUCCCCGCUCCUCGCGCCCGAUCAUCCACCGCGCCGUCGACGCCAAGGGGAAGAAGCCGUCAGGAGGAUCGCCGCCCGUCAACAAGAUGUCAUCCGCGCCGGCCGCGCCAGCAGUGUCCUUCCAGAAGGGCGACGAGGUGCGCGUCCGCACGCCGGUGGGGAGGCUAGGGACCACGGCGCUGCGCCUCGUCAUGUGGCUCGGCGCGGUCGUCGUCUCCGACGCCGACGAUGGACACCUCGAGGUCAUCUACAACGGCAACUUCCCGCGCGACGAUCCCUUCCGGACCGUGCUCGUCGCCGUCAAGGACGUCAAGCUGCCCGCGCCCCGCCCGGCCCCGACCCCGGCAAACAUGGUGGCCCCGCGGCCGACCACGGCCGGCAAGUCGCUGCCGCGGCUGAAGAUGCAGAUGCUGGAGAAGAAGCAACUGCGGGCCAACUCUGAGGCUUUGUUGGCACUGUGA